CUGUUGCGAGAAUCCAAGUUCGGCAUAAUUUCUUUUUAUUAAGAAAAAAAAUGAACAAAAUACAUUCUCUCUCCGUAUAUACAUUACAUACAGCAAAAUUCUACAUUGGGAAUUGCUCUUCUCUCCCCAAAGUCACUCUUGCAUACAUCUUCAACCUGGCGGAACAAUCGUACAUCCGAAAGAUGCGGGGCCGAGAAGCGGAAAGCCACGGGAAAGGACAUCCGAAAAUGCCCACAGCGGUGAGCGCGGCAGGAAAACGCUUCGCACGUGUGCGCCGAGUGGGUGGCAAAUCAAAAAGAGCCGGAAGGAGCUUUGUUGACAAAAGUGGAGACGACAACCCAUAAACACAAUCUGUUGGGCCUAAUGGUUAUCCCACAAGCACGUUGUGUUAAAUCGGGGGGGGGGGUCCUUCAAACUUGGCCUUUUGAUGCCUUGUGGACUUCAACUCCCAGCCUGGCUGAGGAAUUCUGGGAAUUGAAGUCCACAAGUCAUCAAAAGGCCCAAGUUUGAAGACCCCCCUGUGUUAAAUGGCUAUGCACACUUUGGUAUGAUUUACACCAGGGGUCUCCAAACCUGGCCACUUUAAAGAUUCGUGGGCUGGGGAGUCUAUCAGGCGUUCUCAAUAAGACUUGUGGACUUCAACUCCCAGAAUUCCUGAGGAAUCCUGAGGAAUUCUGGGAGUUGAAGUCCACAAGUCUUAAAGUUGCCAAGGUUGAGAACCCCUGCUUUAAAUGGUCAAGUCUCGAGAGUCCUGCUUUACACAAUUUGGCUGAAUUAUAUUUUUAGCUCAUCCUAGAGGGGACCAAAUAGCUUUUGAUUCCUUUGGUAUGAAAAUGCCUUUGGCUCGCCCUGCCUCUAAUCUUUCUUUUUUUUAAAUAAAAAUAAAAGAAUUAACUUCCCACGCCUUCCUCCGUCACUCGUGAUCCUUCAAAUUGCUUCUCCCACCUGAGACGCUCACAUCACGUGGCCGGCAGGACCAAGAACUGAGGCUUAUGUCAAACAUAAACCAAUCAAAACCCGCUUCUAAAAUAUCUCUCUCUCUCUCUCUCUCUCUCUCUCUCUCUCACACACACACACACACACACACACUCUUUGAAGAGCACCUCUCUUCUUUCCUUUCAGUCCUGGAGAAGACCAUCAAGUCAAUUUACUGAAUUCCACCCUUUGCCACUUUUCCCCAAAGCAACGUCCAGAUCAGCAGCUUCGGACAGAUUUAUAUUGCUUUCUCACCAUCUUUCCCCAGAGCAUCUGCGGGGGCUUUUAAUUUUGGGAAAAGAAAAUUGAGAAUUCAGAGGGUGGAUUUCCUCGCUGGUCCCUGGAACUUCAGGUUCCCACGUGUUCCUGAGCUUCCCUAAUCAAACGCAACAGCCAUGAAAUUUCACUUGUCUUAAAAAACAUUUUCUGGUUGAGCCAACGGAACAAGUCGACCCCAAUCAACUCUAUGGGUCUUUCUGACGCCGGAACCACGCCAAUAAAGGUGCUACGAACUCGUGUCUUUUUAAAGAGGGAACAGCUCAGUUUUCAGCAUGACACCUGUCAGUCUUUCGGGACUAUCAAAAUUCUGAGCCAAGCUCUAAAUGGCAUAAAGUUAGGAAAAGGGAAAAGGGGGGGGGGGAAGCUGAAUGUAUCAAUCGGUAAUGAUCAAACAGUUGCAACUUCUCUUAUUGAACUGAACCGCUAGGUCUACAUCACAAUUACAGGAUGGUGUGGAAAAUAAACUUGGUUUUCUCCUUGUCACCUUCCACGAUUUCAAUGGUCGUGAUGACCUUGGGGAGUGAAGUUUCAUCUGUCCUCUUUAGAGAGUUUUUGCUAGUGGCCGGACAGGAUUUCUAAAGGCAGAACUGACCAUUAUUAUCUGCUUUCUCUUUUCUACAGAAUUAUAUCUGAGAUUUUAGAUUAAGACCCAGAAGUUGAAAGAGAUCCUCACUCAUCUCCUGGUCUCUCUUAGGAUGACUUCCAAAUCUGUCCUGAUAUAUGCUCAUUUUUGUGAGAUUUGGUGGAUCCUCCUGAAAUACAUGUAUGUGGAAGGUGACAAGAGAAGUUGUGAUAAAAAAGGGGCAAUGCCCUAAAAAUUGAGCAAAAGGAUCUUUUUCAGAGAAGAAUCUUCAUGCAUUUGAAGUCUACUCUCUCAUCUCGGUGAGGUCCACACAACACACAUCUCUUAAUACUUCUGACCAGCCCAAGACUUUAACAUAUCUAGAGAAAUCUAACUGACCAGCACUAAAUGUCCAGCACUGUUUGAAUGGCCAAGUCACUAAGCUGGACCAAAUUAUUAAAAGAAGUAUCAACCGAUUCUACCUUUUUCUGAUAGGAAAGUUCCAGUUAUGAAGAGUCUCUUGGGGCCUACAAGGCUACUACCUGCCUUAAAUACCGGCUCCUAAGUAGAAAUUGUGGUUUACUCAAAAAGAUUUCCAUUAAGAAAUUUACUUGCUGUUAUUAAACAAUGGGAUGUUGGGAGCCACAGGGAUUGCUCGUCAACAUGGCCAAAGAGCAGAGGGGUCUAGCUAGCCUAAGGAAAGCUGAAAGCAUCUGAGAGGGUCUAGCUAGCCUAAGGAAAGCUGAAGUCAAACUUUGGUCUGUCGGUGGAUCCAAGAUAUGGAAGUUUGGAUGACACCUUCAGUAUCUUGACUGGUGUGGAUAGGACCAACUAAGGGCAGGUGUGUUUAUGGGAUGUUGGUGCUAUCUCAACAUAAAGAACAUUUGGAAGAAAUUGUCAUGAAAUUAGCAUGCCCCACCCCACAAGAACACGCACUCAAUGGGAAGGGGGAGGAUCCUGAGGCAAGGCAUGCAAAUUACUGGAAGUGGAAGAUGGGUCCAUGUAAUGCAUUCUAAAUAGCCCCCCCCCAAAAAAAAAUACAUCAUAAGCUUGAGAGGGAAGAAUGUCACCUCAGCUACCACAGUUUUAUCUAUAUGCAGAAAAUCUGGGCAAAAUUUUUCUGAUUCACAUAAAAAGGAUGGUAAAACUCUACUUGAAACUUAGGUGUGAAGCCUGACUCUCGUGUGCCAUACCUGACAAUUAAAAAUUCAUUUAAAAUAGAGGGGGGGAAAACCUUUUUUAAAAGUCUGGGUGUCUCAAAUAGGAAAAAAAUAUAUACUUUUUAAUUGUCAUUUUUUUAAAUCUGUAAUUUUUAAAAGAUGGCACUUGGCUACUGUACUAAUAUAGAUCGUUUUAUUUUAGUCUGCCGGCACUGGCCACAAUCUAUACGGCCCUCAUAAACCAUGGAUUUGUAAUUCAAGCACCUUCUCUGAUAGGUUAUUUGCAGUGCAAAUUGUGUGUUGCUUCCAACUGUCUGUCUUUCUUCUGAUUGACAGGGAGUCAGAAUUCAUAGUUUUAAAAUCAAAAAUGAUUUCAAACCAUGGCUUGCGACACUGGUUUGUGUAAACCACAAUGCCACGAUGUUUGGACAAAAUUGCAAAAUGGGAUUAUCAAAAUCAAGAGUUAAAAACCCGCUAGCUGAGAUGCCAUAGGGGAAGGAAGGCAUAGCAUAGCGCUAAAAGUUUAAUGUUUGUUGGAGACUGCACAGACCACCAAAACCUUGUGGCUUAUGGCAAGGAUCUUCCAACUUGGCCCUUUUAUGAUUUGUGGACUUCAACUUCCAGAAUUCCUCAGCCAGGCACGCUGGUUGAGGAAUUCUGGGAGUUAGUCCACAAGUCACAAAAGGGCCAAGUUUGAAGACCCCUGGCUUACGGUGAUACUAGCACCAGUCCAGUUUUUGCCAGCUCACCAAAUAAGUUUUCCACAGCAAAUCUAGCUAGGCUUCGGUUCUUUCAUUCCUUGGGUGCUUCUAAUUUCUUAGAAGUCCUAAGAAAUUUUGGAAGGGUUAGAUCAGUCGACCCUUUGAAGCAGAGGUGGACAAUCUAAGUCCUCCAGAUGCUGGUGGAAAGACGUCUCCAGCCAGCACAGCCAAUAGGAAGACAUGCUAGUAGGCAUCCUUCAAAAACAUCUGACAGUUCCCGAUUGCUCAAGCAUUUUAUGAAUGUCAGUCUCUGGUCUGAUGCCUUUCUUUCUCUUCCUGAAGGCGCCCAGAGCCAUCCCAGUGUGAGUUCGCUCCCUGGCUUCCAUCCAAAACCCAAACUCACAACCCCCCCAGCAAAAUAAGACAAAUACGCAAGCUUUGCCGUAGUGCCAAAGAAAGAAAAAAAGCUCACUGUAUCAAUGAACCCUAACUAGGCUAAAAUAUAUAUUUCAUCCCAAUGGCUUUAAACGCCACGUUUUAAGACAUUUCCUAUGACCAUGGAGAUGGGAGAAAUUGUACGCUUUUUCCGAGGGUGUGUGCGUGGUUGUGUGUGAAAACCUGCAAGACGGAAGUCAAGGCCCUGGUCAAAAAACACAGCCCCUUUUUUUUUUGGCGUAGGCCUGGAAAACACCAGCACAAAAAGAGAACGUUUUCCUUGCAGAUGACCACCCACAUGCUAGGAGACCUCGCUCUUUCUCUCUGCGAUGUAACUUCUACUCAAUUUAUGAAGCUAACGCCCAAAUCGCUCCAUAUCCCGAUUCAUUUGCUUAUUUUACGAGGCCAACUGUAACAGAGGAAAAAUGGAAAUGAACGGCUUGUGGGAUACCGGGUGGGUGUAUUAAAGAAAACAAGACUUAAGGAACACUGGAUUAAACUUCCUUGAGGACUUCACUCGUUUUCGGGGACAAGAACAUUGGAAAACAGGGCCUUUGGUGUGUUUCAAAGUGGCCAUCACAACUUGCCUCAGCCAGGUUUGCGAGGAUGAAAUUCACAAGAUCCUUUGGGAGCCGAAAGAAGCAAGACCGUCAGUGCUGGGAUCUGACUUGGGUUUCGAGAUGAUGAAUCUCUCAAAGUGAGUAACAUCUGUUGGGUAGUCACACCAUUGGCUUUGUGGAGUGGGAAUGAGACACACAGCAUGCUGUGUAUCUCACUGGGGUCCUCCACAUCUAAGAGCACAGAAAGCAGAAGAAGCAAAGAAAGGUCAUCAGAUGGGGGGACAGGGUUUACACUCCCAUUGUAAACAGGGCGUCCACCUCCAUGAAUGUUAGAAGAACACUACUAACUCCAUCAUAUUGUGACCUCUCCUCUCCACGGUCACAACACUGUGGCACACAAUCCAAUGCUGAGACUGCUGCAAUCUGCUAAAAGACAGCAUCCAAGUGGAAACGCCUGGCCUUGCGUAUCCAACCUGGCGCAACUCUGUGAGCUUUCCCAGAAAAACAAGUAAUCCAGGAAGUGGGGAAAAAAUGUGUUACAAAGCAAUCAACUAACACACUAA